UGUGCGCGAGUCACUGGGAUCAUGUCUAAACCCAGAGGCGCAGUGAAAGCGUGGGGCUCGCACGGCAUAAAGCCGCUGCGAGCCGCUAAGGGAGGACGGCCGGUCGUUCCCGAACGGUGCGGCCGGCCAGCACUCCCGGGGCGCCUCGGCUCCGGCCGCAGGCGCACCCGGAGCGCACACGUUGGGACCCGAAAGAUGGUGAACUAUGCCCGGCCAGGACGAAGUCAGGGGAAACCCUGAUGGAGGUCCGCAGCGAUUCUGACGUGCAAAUCGAUCGUCAGAGCUAGGUAUAGGGGCGAAAGACUAAUCGAACCAUCUAGUAGCU
rnacentral:rRNA from 1 species